rnacentral:misc_RNA from 1 species
GAUGAAGAACGCAGCGAAAUGCGAUAAGUAAUGUGAAUUGCAGAAUUCAGUGAAUCAUCGAAUCUUUGAACGCACCUUGCGCCCUUUGGCCAUUCCGAAGGGCAUGCCUGUUUGAGUAUCAUGAACACCUCAACUCUUUAUGGUUUUCCAUGAUGAGCUUGGACUUUGGGGGUUUUGCUGGCCUAUGGUCGGCUCCUCUAAAAUAAAUCAGCUUACCAGUGUUUGGUGGGUAUCAUGGGUGUGAUAACUAUCUACGCUUGUGGUUUUUCCGCCAGGUAACCUUCGACAGCGGAGGUUCACUGGAGCUCAUAGAUGUCUCUCCUCAGCGAGGACAGCCCUUUAAAUGUUUGAUCUCAAAUCAGGUAGGACUACCCGCUGAACUUAAGCAUAUCAAUAAGCGGAGGA